rnacentral:rRNA from 1 species
GGUUAAGCGACUAAGCGUACACGGUGGAUGCCCUGGCAGUCAGAGGCGAUGAAGGACGUGCUAAUCUGCGAAAAGCGUCGGUAAGGUGAUAUGAACCGUUAUAACCGGCGAUGUCCGAAUGGGGAAACCCAGUGUGAUUCGUCACACUAUCGUUAACUGAAUACAUAGGUUAACGAGGCGAACCGGGGGAACUGAAACAUCUAAGUACCCCGAGGAAAAGAAAUCAACCGAGAUUCCCCCAGUAGCGGCGAGCGAACGGGGAGCAGCCCAGAGUCUGAAUCAGCUUGUGUGUUAGUGGAACGGUCUGGAAAGUCCGACGGUACAGGGUGAUAGUCCCGUACACCAAAAUGCACAGGCUGUGAACUCGAAGAGUAGGGCGGGACACGUGGUAUCCUGUCUGAAUAUGGGGGGACCAUCCUCCAAGGCUAAAUACUCCUGACUGACCGAUAGUGAACCAGUACCGUGAGGGAAAGGCGAAAAGAACCCCGGCGAGGGGAGUGAAAAAGAACCUGAAACCGUGUACGUACAAGCAGUGGGAGCACCUUCGGGUGUGACUGCGUACCUUUUGUAUAAUGGGUCAGCGACUUAUAUUCUGUAGCAAGGUUAACCGUAUAGGGGAGCCGCAGGGAAACCGAGUCUUAACUGGGCGUUAAGUUGCAGGGUAUAGACCCGAAACCCGGUGAUCUAGCCAUGGGCAGGUUGAAGGUUGGGUAACACUAACUGGAGGACCGAACCGACUAAUGUUGAAAAAUUAGCGGAUGACUUGUGGCUGGGGUGAAAGGCCAAUCAAACCGGGAGAUAGCUGGUUCUCCCCGAAAGCUAUUUAGGUAGCGCCUCGUGAACUCAUCUUCGGGGGUAGAGCACUGUUUCGGCUAGGGGGUCAUCCCGACUUACCAACCCGAUGCAAACUACGAAUACCGAAGAAUGUUAUCACGGGAGACACACGGCGGGUGCUAACGUCCGUCGUGAAGAGGGAAACAACCCAGACCGCCAGCUAAGGUCCCAAAGUCAUGGUUAAGUGGGAAACGAUGUGGGAAGGCACAGACAGCCAGGAUGUUGGCUUAGAAGCAGCCAUCAUUUAAAGAAAGCGUAAUAGCUCACUGGUCGAGUCGGCCUGCGCGGAAGAUGUAACGGGGCUAAACCAUGCACCGAAGCUGCGGCAGCGACACUAUGUGUUGUUGGGUAGGGGAGCGUUCUGUAAGCCUGCGAAGGUGACCUGUGAGGGUUGCUGGAGGUAUCAGAAGUGCGAAUGCUGACAUAAGUAACGAUAAAGCGGGUGAAAAGCCCGCUCGCCGGAAGACCAAGGGUUCCUGUCCAACGUUAAUCGGGGCAGGGUGAGUCGACCCCUAAGGCGAGGCCGAAAGGCGUAGUCGAUGGGAAACAGGUUAAUAUUCCUGUACUUGGUGUUACUGCGAAGGGGGGACGGAGAAGGCUAUGUUAGCCGGGCGACGGUUGUCCCGGUUUAAGCAUGUAGGCUGGUUAUCCAGGCAAAUCCGGAUAAUCAAGGCUGAGGUGUGAUGACGAGGCACUACGGUGCUGAAGUAACAAAUGCCCUGCUUCCAGGAAAAGCCUCUAAGCAUCAGGUAACAUCAAAUCGUACCCCAAACCGACACAGGUGGUCAGGUAGAGAAUACCAAGGCGCUUGAGAGAACUCGGGUGAAGGAACUAGGCAAAAUGGUGCCGUAACUUCGGGAGAAGGCACGCUGGUGUGUAGGUGAAGCCCCUGCGGGUGGAGCUGAGACCAGUCGAAGAUACCAGCUGGCUGCAACUGUUUAUUAAAAACACAGCACUGUGCAAACACGAAAGUGGACGUAUACGGUGUGACGCCUGCCCGGUGCCGGAAGGUUAAUUGAUGGGGUUAUCCGUAAGGAGAAGCUCUUGAUCGAAGCCCCGGUAAACGGCGGCCGUAACUAUAACGGUCCUAAGGUAGCGAAAUUCCUUGUCGGGUAAGUUCCGACCUGCACGAAUGGCGUAAUGAUGGCCAGGCUGUCUCCACCCGAGACUCAGUGAAAUUGAACUCGCUGUGAAGAUGCAGUGUACCCGCGGCAAGACGGAAAGACCCCGUGAACCUUUACUAUAGCUUGACACUGAACAUUGAGCCUUGAUGUGUAGGAUAGGUGGGAGGCUUUGAAGCGUGGACGCCAGUCUGCGUGGAGCCAACCUUGAAAUACCACCCUUUAAUGUUUGAUGUUCUAACGUUGGCCCCUUACCGGGGUUGCGGACAGUGUCUGGUGGGUAGUUUGACUGGGGCGGUCUCCUCCCAAAGCGUAACGGAGGAGCACGAAGGUUAGCUAAUCCUGGUCGGACAUCAGGAGGUUAGUGCAAUGGCAUAAGCUAGCUUGACUGCGAGCGUGACGGCGCGAGCAGGUGCGAAAGCAGGUCAUAGUGAUCCGGUGGUUCUGAAUGGAAGGGCCAUCGCUCAACGGAUAAAAGGUACUCCGGGGAUAACAGGCUGAUACCGCCCAAGAGUUCAUAUCGACGGCGGUGUUUGGCACCUCGAUGUCGGCUCAUCACAUCCUGGGGCUGAAGUAGGUCCCAAGGGUAUGGCUGUUCGCCAUUUAAAGUGGUACGCGAGCUGGGUUUAGAACGUCGUGAGACAGUUCGGUCCCUAUCUGCCGUGGGCGCUGGAGAAUUGAGGGGGGCUGCUCCUAGUACGAGAGGACCGGAGUGGACGCAUCACUGGUGUUCGGGUUGUCAUGCCAAUGGCACUGCCCGGUAGCUAAAUGCGGAAGAGAUAAGUGCUGAAAGCAUCUAAGCACGAAACUUGCCCCGAGAUGAGUUCUCCCUGAGACUUUAAGUCUCCUGAAGGAACGUUGAAGACGACGACGUUGAUAGGCCGGGUGUGUAAGCGCAGCGAUGCGUUGAGCUAACCGGUACUAAUGAACCGUGAGGCUUAACCUU